UCCCUAGUGGUCCAGUGGCUAAGACUCUGAGCUCCCAAUGCAGGAGGCCUAGGUUCGCUCCCUGGUCAGGGAA
rnacentral:tRNA from 1 species